UCCACCUCUGAGUGGUGGGUUAGGGGGUUGCACUUACAGUCCAGGUAGCACAGAUGGGCAGGGUAGGAGGAGAGAACACAAAACAUGUGGUUUGGGGGAGGGACAGCUUUCACAAUUUUUUCUCCUAGAGUGUGACAUUGUCCUACUGUGCUGGUCAGGUUACAUCUGUCUCACCCUAGCUUUUAGCCAGCCCUGUCUGUAACUAAGUCCUCAUCACCACGCCCUCUGCUGUGCCCAGCUGUAGUCUGGCAAGUCUUUAAGGUGGCAGUUGGUGCUCUCCCUCUUCCUCAUUCUCUAUACCCUUCUAUCCUCUUCUGUCACCUUUCCAGGGGUAUUGUCCAGAAUGUCUGGCACAAGCCUCAGUAUUGAUAGAGUAUGCCAUCCAUCAGGUUAUGUUGGGGAGAGAAGCCUUGCUCGGGUUGGACUCCAAUGACAGGGAGAGAUGUGUUCUCUUCUUGUCCCAUGAUCUGUGACCUUCCCAGCCCCCUCCCUUAGAGGCCCAUCCUCAGUAUGUUAAGACCUGCAGGGGUCCCUACUAGACCUCCUCCUCAGAAUCUUUCUCCAUCAGCAGGACUGACUAUGGUUGCCAUGCCCUAUGGGCUCCAGGGCAUUCGGCAUUAUGGGAACACGCCUGGUGCUGGGUAGAGGUGGAGUCGGGAGAGUGGCAGGUAGAUCAGAAGCCACAGUGUGAGGAGUGGGUUGGAACAGAGGCAGGGCUGGUAGAGUUCCAAAGGCUGGGGAGUAAAGAGCCUGAAGGAAUGGGCGUUCCAGAGGGAAGUAGGUUGGGUUCAUUGGCAGGCCUGGGAGCAGGGUGCAACAGAAAGCUGGGACACUGCGCAAUGAAGAGUUGGCUAGCCUAGCCUUCUUAUCCUAUAAGUGCCCUGGAUACACUUCCUACUGUAUCCCAGAACUCUUUUGGUUCCCUAUAAGGUGCCAGAUGUCCCCGUGGCUCUGACCUGAGAGACUAGGCUCCAUGUGGCCCUCCUACUACACACUAUUUCGAAAUAGGUCACAGAACUACUUUGGUGUGGACCCAGCCUGCCACCUGUGCUGUUUGCUGCUUGACCCAGUUGCUGCCGACUCCAUGAAAGACAGGAGCAUAAUUCAGUCCACAAACUUCUUUGUGUGUCACCAUGAGCCUGGUGGUGGCAGGGAUGCUGGGGACCUGCCACUCAGGUUAGGUUGUAUACACUCUGACCAGCACAUUUAUGUUCAAGUUUGAAGAACAUGAAGGAAACAGGCUGACCAACUGUCUGUUUUCUGUGGCUAUAAUGGAAUACCGGAAACUGGGAAAUUUAUAAAGGGAAGAUGUUUAAUUUGGCUCACCAUUUAGAAUGCUUGGAAGUCCCAGACUGGCUGACUGUAUCUGGUAAGGGACUUGUACUUUUCCAACGCACAGUGGAAAUGAGUGAGGAAAAAGAGGCCAAAACCCUGUUCUUGACAUGACUGCUCCUUCCCUCCAGAGUAAUACUAAUUUUUCUGGUUCUGCCUUCCCAUCACCCCAGACAUUCUGCUGGGUGCCAUCUACUAACACUGUCAAGGACACGAACGAAGAAUCCUGCACAUGAACUCCCGAGGCCAUGCUCAACCCAAAAUACCAAGUUCAGAGGGAGAGAACUUUGAGCAGGAUUGAACUGGGCAUGCUCAGGGCACAAAAGGCCCAUUAGCCACAGCCCAGAGAAGGAAGAGAUGAGACAGGGAAGACAGAGUGAUCACAACCUACUCUCAGACACAGUUGGAUUUCUUUCUUCAGGAAGGAAGGGCCAGCAAAGGACCCAAGGAGAUGCUUUCUAGGAGGUUCGUGAAUAUUCAAGAGCAGCCCAGGGAACGCUAAGAGGUGAGGCUGGGUAAUGCCAGAGAGAAGCAAUGGGAUUUGGCCACACGGUAGGUAUUGGCAGUUACCAAUGAGUAUUCAGUAUGGCAGGGGCCAGAAUCCAGCUGGAGUAAGAUUAGGGGAGGCUGUGAUGUGAUGUCUCUUUCAGUAAUGGGGAAUGGAGAAAAAAAUGAAGAGGUAGCUACAGAGGGUAUAGGGGUCAAGGAGGAAAAGAAGCUGGGAAAAAAAUGUGUGUGAUUCAACAGAGAUACAGGAAGAGGUAUGUGGUAGGACACUGACCUUGAAGAACUAGCUGCAGAGCCUAGGGGCGGGAGUGACCUUUACCACAGAGUAGGGACAGUUUAGACAGUAAUGGCAUCAUCUAGAUGGAGGUGGUUGGUGGCCCAAGGCCUCUAGCUUGUUAUUUCCAUUUAUUCAGCAAUGUGGAUGCAAGACAGAGGAGAUAGGGAGGAGGGAAGGGAGAAGAGAGAGGCUGGGAGCUCUUCCUAGGGCUUGCUGGGGUAGUGGGGGCUGCUGGGAAAUGUGCUAUUCUCCUAGCGAGCUGUGGGCUCCCCGCUGUGCAGAGGGCCCAGCUCUCAUUGUUCUGUGACUUUUCUCUUUCCACACUCUCUGGCUCUUCUGUGUGGCGCUGAGGCUGAAGGCAGCCUGGGUUUGAUGAGAAGACACAGCAGCCAGCGUGAGGGAGGCUCCUGGAAACAAUGAUAAUAAAUUGGUGACGCAGUGUGGUUUUGUCAGCUUUUGUUUCCGGAAUGGAAUACCGGAGGCCAACUAUCUAUGACACAAGUUUGUGGUUCCAUUUCGGAGGUAAAAA